rnacentral:rRNA from 1 species
AGAGUUUUAUCCUGGCUCAGAAUGAACGCUGGCAGUAUGCCUAACACAUGCAAAUCGAACGAGAAAAUUUUUAACAAAUGAGUAUAGUGGUGAACGGGUGAGUAAUACAUAGGAAUUUGCUUAAUAAUUUGGGAUAUGUAUUUUGUUUUAUACAAUUAAGAAUAAUUAUUCAUAUAAAUACCAAAUAAUUUUCAAUUUAUUUGAAAAAAAGAUUAAAUCGUUAUUAAAUAAGCCUAUGUAGGAUUAGGUAGUUGGUAAGAUAAAAGCUUACCAAGCCAAAGAUCCUUAGUUGUUUUGAAAGAUUGAACAACCACAUUGGGAUUGAGAGACGGCCCAAACUCUUACGAGAGGCAGCAGUGAGGAAUAUUGGACAAUGAGGGAAACCUUGAUCCUACGAUACUGCGUGAAUGAAUGAAGACUCUUUGAGUUGUAAAAUUCUUUCAUUAAGGAAGAUAAUGACGUUACUUAAAAAAGAAGUUCCGGCUAACUCCGUGCCAGCAGCCGCGGUAAGACGGAGGGAACUAGUGUUAUUCGGAAUAACUGGGCGUAAAGGGUAUGUAGGCGGUUUAUUAAGUUUUAGGUGAAAGUUUAAAGCUUAACUUUAAAAUUAUUUAAAAUACUUUUAAACUUGAGUUUAAUAGAGGAUAAUGGAAUUUUUAGUGUAGAAAUAAAAUUUGUAAAUAUUAAAAGGAACUCCAGAAGCGAAGGCGAUUAUCUGGAUUAACACUGACGCUGAGGUACGAAAGGAUGGGGAGCAACCAGGAUUAGAGACCCUGUUAGUCCAUCCUGUAAACGAUGAGUGUUAAAUGUUAGAUUUUAAAUCUAGUGUUACAGCUAACGCGUUAAACACUCCGCCUGGGAAGUAUGAUCGCAAGAUUGAAACUUAAAGGAAGUGACGGGGAUCUAAACAAGCGGUGGAGCAUGUGGUUUAAUUCGUAACAACGCGCAAAACCUUACCAAUUCUUGACAUAUUAAAUGAAACUAUUUAUUUAAUUUUAAAUAGUAUUAAUACAGGUGUUGCAUGGCUGUCGUCAGUUCGUGUUGUGAAAUGUUUGGUUCAUUCCUUUAACGAACGUAACCCUUAUUUUUAAUUAUUAUAAAUAUUAUUUUCAAUUUAUUAAAUAAUAUUAAAUAGAUUAAAAAAACUGCUAAUAAUAAAUUAGAGGAAGGCGAGGAUGACGUCAAGUCUUCAUGGCCCUGAUGGAUUGGGCUACACACGUGCUACAAUGGUUAUGACAAUAAGAAGCAAAAACGUAAGUUGGAGCAAAUCUUUAAAAGUAAUCUUAGUUCGGAUUGUUCUCUGCAACUCGAGAACAUGAAGGUGGAAUCGCUAGUAAUCGCAAAUCAGCAUGUUGCGGUGAAUAUGUUCUUAGGUCUUGUACACACCGCCCGUCAAGCCUUGGAAAUUAGUGGAUUUGUAAGUUUAUUUUUUAAUUUUAUAACAAUAAUUUAAUUUUUAUAGUUGAUAUAUUUAAUAAAGUUAAAUGAUUAUAAUUAGAAAAAUAAAUCAUAAUCAGAUUAGUAACUAAGGCUAAGUCGUAACAAGGUAGUCGUAGGGGAACCUGUGGCUG